rnacentral:rRNA from 1 species
GAUUGAACGCUGGGCGGCAUGCCUUACACAUGCAAGUCGAACGUGAAAGCGGGGCAACCCGCAAGUAGAGUGGCGGACGGGUGAGUAAUACAUCGGAACGUGUCCAGUAAUGGGGGAUAACCUAGCGAAAGUUAGGCUAAUACCGCAUACGAUCUGCGGAUGAAAGCGGGGAUGCGGCACUAAAGGCUUUUGGCGAAGGUGGCCAAAAGGUGAGUCAAGAGCUUUUAGUGCUGCACCUCGCGUUAUUGGAGCGGCUGAUGUCUGAUUAGCUAGUUGGUGAGGUAAAGGCUUACCAAGGCGACGAUCAGUAGCUGGUCUGAGAGG